GUUUGUUCUCCAUUCUCGUCGGUUCUGGUCGGGGGUUUGCUGUUGUUUUUAUAAUCUGCUGAAGAUAAAUGUCUGCGCCUCCCAUACAUUGUAAUAGCCUGAAUCCUUGCCUGGACUACUUGCUGGGACAAGUACCAGAUGCUGUGUGGCUAUCUGAUUACCCAAAGGACCCAGCAGUUAAAACAGAACAUUGAAUUGAAUCCUGCUGGUUUCUGGAACUUAUCAGUAGUGAAAGCCAGCUGGUGGCAGCAGAAGAGAAAAGAUAGAGGAUGCAAGAUGGCAGCAAAAACAUGCCUGAAUUCCAUAAGAUCAAGGAACCAAUUAAAGUAAAAUUGAUAUCCAUUUUGGUUGUUGAUGAUGGUGCAGUUUGGUUGAAGCAGUCCCUCAAAUAGAAGCUUCUGGUACUCGUUGAAGAAAAUAUUUUCUAAAUCUUUUCUGAAAGUAUUGUCC